CGUAUUUUCAGCCGAAAAAAAUCGACCCGAAAAUAAUUGUGAAGUUUAUAAUCAAUGAAAUAAUUAGCGCUGCCAUGUUUGAGCAACAGAAACAUGUGUCAGCCUCAGAUAAAACGUAUGCUGUUUGGAAAGACCUGUUCCCGUGGAUUGUCAUAAAUACAGAAGACCCGUCACAGGUUAAUCUUAAAUGUUCAUUAUGUAUAAAAUUUCAAAUGAAAAAUGCAUUAACUACAACUGGUUCUAGCAAUAUUCAAUAAUCAACCGUUGAGAGACACUGCGAAUCUGCGGACCACCAGACUGCUACUAAAAUGUCAUUGAAAUUAGAAAGUUCUAAAAAAGAUCCUACGCUAUUAGAUCAAGAUUUAGAAGAGAUAAAAAACUGUAUAUUGUUGGAUUCAGACAUUUUUGAUAAGAUCGGUUUACUCUCUCAUGAAUAAUGAAUUACCAAUUGAAAAACUUGAUGCAAUUUUGGAACUUCAACGGUUAAAUUCAUUAAAUAUGCCAUACAGAAAUUUGAGCUGGACUACUAUUACAGAAAUUCAAAAUGUAAUUGCUGCUGGUUUAAAGAAAAAACUUGUUGUGGUGUUGGGGUACAGGUUCAAGCAAAAUUUGCCCCAUUUGUAAUACAAACUCAUUGUAUAGCACACAGAUUAAAUUUGGCAGUAACUGACUCUAUUAAACAAAUUGAACCACUAAAGAAACUGAAAGAAAAAUUUGCAAACCUUUACCAUUUCAUAUCUGCAUCAGGAAAUAGGACAUUUGCCUUAAAACAAAUGCAGGGGUUGUUAGAUGAGCCUAAGCUGUCUGUUAAAGAACCAUAUUCCAUUCGUUGGCUGGGUCUUAAAAAUGCUGUUGAAGCCGUCUAUGAAUCAUAUGGAGCCAUACUUGCAACAUUGUCUAGCAUGGCCGAUGAAAAUUCUACAGCUAAAGGUUUAUACAAGUACUUUGCUUCAUAUAAAACGGCAUUACUUUUAGCUUUCAUGUUGGACUUUCAUACUAUCCUGGGUGUCCUAUGUUGUGAACUGCAGGCAGAGAACCUUAUUUUUAGUGAUGUUCCUCCCCUAAUAGACAGUACUGUGGAGAAGAUUGAGUCAAUGAAAUCAGAAGAAGGUGAUGGAUUAGUAGAGAUGAAAAACAGCAUUGUAGUGAAAGAUGAAAAGGCCUUUUAUAAAGGAGAUGAGCUUAAAUAUUAUAGCAAAGAUAUAGAAUCACAGAUUUCAAAUGUUAAAAAUAAUUAUUUGGAUAACUUGGCCAAUAAUAUUAGAAGAAGACUAAAAAAGAAUGAUAGUGACACUUUAAUAUACUUGAGUCAAGUCUUAGAACCAUCAACAGUAUGUCAUCUUCCUGCUGAUACCAGUAAGAGUGCUCUAGAAUGUUUGGGAAAUCAGUUUGGAGUUGAAAAAACAGUGAAACAAGUGGAAGGAGAUCUGAUUAUAGGUAUUUCAAAUUGACAUUUAACUGAUGUAAACUUUUUCUUAUUUAAAACAAUAAAAACUUAACUGAUAUAAACAUGUUUACUUGCAAAACAACAUUGUCCAAAAAAAUUAAACACAAAGUUUAUAUAUUUAUUUUUAAAGAAUCUGAUAUCUAGGACUUUCAAAAUAUAUUAUAAUGUCACUAUAUUGCUUCCUGGUUUAUUUAAAUAAUAACAUAUUGCAUUUUAUAUUACAGGGACAACAGAGACUGUCACUCAUGUUGAGCCAUUAUUAGUGGAAGGAGUGGAAAGGGGUUUAUGGGAUGGUAAAAGGCACAUAUAGGAACAUUUCCCUCAGUGACCUGUGCCAAAGAUUAUGUGUGAAGCACAGUCUGACAUAUCCAAACAUGGCUAAGUUAGCUAAAAUAGCCUUAUGCAUGGAGAUUUCAAGCACAGAGUGUGAGCGCUCAUUCAGCACUCAAAACAGACUUAAGAGUAAAUUAAGGUCAUCACUCAAAGAGAUUUCACUUGAAUCACUGCUGAGGGUUAGCCUUUAUGGAGAGCCAGUCUCAGAGUAUGACCCUGUACCAGACACAAGACAGUGGUUGGUCAAGAAUCGCAGAAGGAAGCGCCUGAUGCAAGAUUAUAAACCAAGAGAGUCCAAAAAGCAAAAGAAAUGACUGACAUAUCUUGUAUAAUGCAGUAAACAUGGAAGCAUAAUAAAUGUUUUACUCUUUUCCAUACAUUUUAAGGAGUAAAAAUACUCCAGCCAAAUUUCAGAUUUCAAGUUUUACUCAUUCACAAAAAAAUCAAUGAGUAAAUACUCAUUGCCCUAAAAAAUUAUCUGGAGCCCUGUGUCCAAAUGGUUCUGGUAUGUUACAUAAGUAGGUCAUAGGGCCAGAAAAGGAAAUUAUAAAAAGCAAAUUUAAAAAAUGUUCUUGUCAAAAUGUACAAGGUCCAGAGCUUUGAUAUUUGGUAUAUGACAUCAUCUAUAGGUCCUCUACCAAACUUGUUCAAAUUUUGUCCCUAGUGUCAAUAAAAUUUUAUCCCUUGUGUCAAAAUUGGCCUUGCCCUGUGAGUCAUAGGUUUCCAUUAUUGCUCCUUGCUUUUUGUGUUUACUAUUUUUUUUUGUCCAUGGGCCCGUAUUUUAUCAAUUAAUCCCUUCGAUUUACAGAUAAAAAUAAAUUCGCAUUCAAUAACUCCUUCCGAUUAUUAUAUUGGUUCCCCCUUCGGUGAUUUGCAGCAUGUCAUAUUAAUGAAUGAGAACCGGAAAGCAGUUCUGCUGUACAUGAAUUCGAAAGCUAUAAAUAGCUAUAAAUGUUCUGAUUUUUGACACUUAGGCUAUAAAUUUGAUAUUUCCCUUUUUUAGUUGUACAUGAAAUUAUAAUUUGUUACAUUUUGAAUUACAUUUACACACAGCAUAUCGAGUAUACUAUUAGUGAUCGAAUUUGUCAAUAUAAAGAUUUCAGGCAUAAGACUUUAAUAAUUUUGCUUUUGAUAAUUAUUCUUAAUUUAUAUUCAUGAAACUAAAUGUUUAAUAAUAACAUGUUGAUAUAUUGGUUGUUUUGAAAUUAUUACAACUUUAGUAUAUAAGAUUACAUUUCAUUGGUAUUGUUGGUAAUGCACGGAGGUAAGUUAUCAACUUUUUGUGCUUCAAAAUUAACUCUUUUAAGGGCAUGACUGGUGGCAUGUCUGGUGUCCGUACUCAACAGCGAAAACUGCAUUUUGUGCCCGUACGGGCGGAUAGACACUCAUUAAGCAUAGACUAUAGAUAGAUAGAUCGCAUCAUUGGUAACAACAGAAACUUUGAUCUGCAGUUUGAAGAUGAGGUGUAUUGUUAGCUCGACUUUUUUUUUUGAAAAAAAAAGUAGAGGUAUUGUUAUAGUCAGGUCGGCGUUGCCGUUGCCAUUCCCGUCCGCAAACUUGUACCUGGAUCAUAACUUUUUUAUUUCUUGGUGUAUUGUCUUCAUACUUGGCCACAACAACCCUUGGGACAAGACCUUUCAGUAGACCACACUAACCUUGACCUUCAUCCAUAAAUGACCUUGACCUUCAAGGUUAAAAGUCCAAUUUUUGCUUGUUCAUGCUGUUAUUGGCUGUAACUUUGUUAUUUUUGAAUGGAUUGUCUUCAAACUUGAACAUAAUAAUCUUCAAGGAUAUCCCUUAAAAAUAACCCGCCAGACCUUGACCUUCACUCAUAAAUGACCUUGACUUUGAAGGUCAAAUUAUUGAAAUUUUCAUUUUUUUGGCCAUUAUUGGCUGUAACUUUGUUAUUUUUGAAUGGAUUGUCUUGAAACUUGAACAUAAUAAUCUUCAAAGAUAACUGUUAAAAAUAUACCGAAAGACCUUGACCUUCACUCAUUAAUGACAUUGUCUUUGAAGGUCAAAUUAUUGAAAUUUUCAUUGUUUUGGCGGUAACUGACUGUAACUUUGCUAUUAUUGAAGGGAUCAACUUCAUAGUAUAACAGAACAUUCUUAAGGACCAGACCUUGUUGUUUAUCAAACUCAAAUUUGCUUGGGCUCUUUAAUGACCUUGACCUUGAAGGUUAAAUUACUGAAUUUUCUCAGAUUUGUGCAUUAAAUAACCAUAAUUAUAUAUUUAUUGGUGUGUGUGUGUGUAUACAUAUAUAUUUACAACAACAACAACAACAAGAAUUGCGUAAUGUUUCUAUUUAUAGACUUGCGUCAUUGUUUCUAUUUAUAGAAUUGUGUCAUUGUUUCUAUUUAUAGAAUUGCGCCAUUGUUUCUAUUUAUAGAAUUGCGUCAUUGUUUCUAUUUUUAGAAAUUGCGUCAUUGUUUUUAUACCCCCGCACAACAAAGUUGUAAGGGGGGUAUACUGGAAUCAGCUUGUCCGUCCGGCCGUCCGCCCGUCGGGCGUCUGUCGGUUUUUUCUUGUCCGCCCAAUAACUUAAGAUUCCUUUGACCCACAGUCUUCAUAUUUGGCAUGGAGGUUAGUCAUGAUGAGUAGAUGACCCCUAUUGAUUUUGAGGUAGCCAGGUCAAAGGUCAAGGUCACAGGGGCCUUGACUUCAAAAAGCUUGUCCGCCCAAUAACUUAAGAUUCCUUUGACCCACAGUCUUCAUAUUUGGCAUGGAGGUUAGUCAUGACGAGUAGAUGACCCCUAUUGAUUUUGAGGUCACUGGGUCAAAGGUCAAGGUCACAGGGGCCUUUACUUCAAAAAUCUUGUCUGCCCAAUAACUUAAGAUUCCUUUUGACCCACAGUCUUCAUAUUUGGCAUGGAGGAUAGUCAUGACGAGUAGAUGACCCCUAUUGAUUUUGAGGUCACCAGGUCAAAGGUCAAGUUCACAGGGGCCUUGACUGCAAAAACCUUGUCCGCCCAAUAACAUAAGAUUCCUUUGACCCACAGUCUUCAUAUUUGGCAUGGAGGUUAGUCAUGACAAGUAGAUGACCCCUUUUUAUUUUGAGGCAACCAGGUCAAAGGUCAAGGUCACGGGGGCAUUGACUAUAAAAAGCUUGUCCACCCAAUAACUUAAGAUUCCUUUGACCCACAGUCUUCCAAUUUGGCAUGAAGGUUAGUCAUGAUGAGUAGAUGACCCCUAUUGAUUUUGAGGUCACCAGGUCAAAGGUCAAGGUCACAGGGGCCUUGACUUCGAAAAGCUUGUCCGCCCAAUAACUUAAGAAACCUUUGUCCUACAGUCUUUAUAUUUUGCAUGGAGGCUAGUCAUGAUUAGUAGAUGACCCCUAUUGAUUUUGAGGUCACUGGGUCAAAGGUCAAGGUCACAGGGACUUUGACAUUAAAAAGUUUGUCCGCCAAAUAAAUUAAGAAACCUUUGAUCCAUAGUCUUCAUAUUUGGCAUGGAGGUUAGUCAUGAUUAGUAGAUGACCCCUAUUGAUUUUAAGUUGACUGGGUCAAAGGUCAAGGUCACAGGGGCCUUGACUAUAAAAAGCUUGUCUGCCCCAUAACUUAAGAUUCCUUUCACCCACAGUCUUCAUAUUUGGCAUGGAGGUUAGUCAUGAUUAGUAGAUGACCCCUUUUGAUUUUGAUGUCACUGGGUCAAAGGUCAAGGUCACAGGGGCCUUGAUUUCGAAUAGUUUCUCGGCCCAAUAACUUAAGAAACCUUUGACCCACAGUCUUCAUAUUUAGCAUGGAGGUUAGUCAUGAUAUGUAGAUGACCCCUAUUUAUUUUUAUUACACUGGGUCAAAGGUCAAGGUCACAGGGACCUUGACUUAAAAAACCUUGUCCGCCCAAUAACUUGAGAUUCCUUUGGCCCACAGUCUUCAUAUUUAGCAUGGAGGUUAGUCAUGAUUAGUAGAUGACUCCUAUUGAUUUUGAGGUCAAUGGGUCAAAGGUCAAGGUCACAGGGGCCUUGACUAAACAAACCUUGUCCGCCCAAUAACUUGAGAUUCCUUUGACCCACAGUCUACAUAUUUGGCAUGGAGGUUAGUCAUGAUUAGUAGAUGACCCUAUUGAUUUUGGGGUCACUGGGUCAAAGGUCAAAGUCACAGGGGCCUUGACUUUAAAAAGCUUGUCCACCCAAUAACUUGACAUUCCUUUGGCCCACAGUCUUCAUCUUUUCGUAUUUGGCAUGGAGGUUAGUCAUGAUUAGUAGAUGACCCCUAUUGUUUUUGAGGUCACUGGGUCAAAGGUCAAGGUCACAGGGAC